CACCUUCGGGUGAGCGGCGGACGGGUUAGUAACGCGUGGGAACAUACCCUUUUCUACGGAAUAGCCUCGGGAAACUGAGAGUAAUACCGUAUAAGCCCUUCGGGGGAAAGAUUUAUCGGGAAAGGAUUGGCCCGCGUUAGAUUAGAUAGUUGGUGGGGUAAUGGCCUACCAAGUCUACGAUCUAUAGCUGGUUUUAGAGGAUGAUCAGCAACACUGGGACUGAGACACGGCCCAGACUCCUACGGGAGGCAGCAGUGGGGAAUAUUAGACAAUGGGCGCAAGCCUGAUCUAGCCAUGCCGCGUGUGUGAUGAAGGUCUUAGGAUCGUAAAGCACUUUCGCCAGGGAUGAUAAUGACAGUACCUGGUAAAGAAACCCCGGCUAACUCCGUGCCAGCAGCCGCGGUAAUACGGAGGGGGUUAGCGUUGUUCGGAAUUACUGGGCGUAAAGCGUACGUAGGCGGAUUGGAAAGUUGGGGGUGAAAUCCCAGGGCUCAACCCUGGAACUGCCUCCAAAACUAUCAGUCUAGAGUUCGAGAGAGGUGAGUGGAAUUCCAAGUGUAGAGGUGAAAUUCGUAGAUAUUCGGAGGAACACCAGUGGCGAAGGCGGCUCACUGGCUCGAUACUGACGCUGAGGUACGAAAGUGUGGGGAGCAAACAGGAUUAGAUACCCUGGUAGUCCACACCGUAAACGAUGAAUGCCAGUCGUCGGGUAGCAUGCUAUUCGGUGACACACCUAACGGAUUAAGCAUUCCGCCUGGGGAGUACGGUCGCAAGAUUAAAACUCAAAGGAAUUGACGG
rnacentral:rRNA from 1 species